AACUUUUGACAAUGGAUCACUAGGCUCUUGCAGCGAUGAAGAACGCAGGAAAGUGCGAAAAGUGAUGCGAUUUGCAUGAAUCUGUGAGUCAUCCAAUCUUUGAACGCAAAUGGCACUCUUGUGUAAGCAAGAGUAUGUCUGUUUGAGAAUCCCAAAACCGAUCAACACCUGUGGGCGUUGGUACUGGCUUUCCGUGCAGUGUGCGGAUUGCUUAAAGAUAUUCAGGUUGAUGAGCUUCCAGCCAAGCUCGAAGUGUGCUAAUAGACUGUGGUUUUUCGUCAUUUGGUCUGUUUGGUUUCACGGCUCUAAACGACAACCUUUAAAACUUAUCUAAUAGGAUCUCAAAUCAGGCAAGAUUACCCGCUGAACUUAAGCAUAUCAAUAAGCGGAGGAU
rnacentral:misc_RNA from 1 species